rnacentral:rRNA from 1 species
CCCUUAGAUGUUCUGGGCUGCACGCGCGCUACACUGAAGCUAUCAACACGUUUUCCCUCCCUGAGAAGGGCGGGUAACCUUUUGAAUCAGCUUCGUGGUAGGGAUCGGGGCUUGCAAUUGUUCCCCGUGAACCAGGAAUUCCUAGUAGACGCGAGUCAUAAGCUCGCAUCGAUUAAGUCCCUGCCCUUUGUACACACCGCCCGUCGCUACUACCGAUUGAACGUUUUAGUGAGACAUUUGGACCGACGCAUCUCAGUUUAACCGCUGGUUUGUGUUGGAAAGACUUCCAAACUUGAGCGUUUAGAGGAAGUAAAAGUCGUAACA